CCUACGGGUGGCAGCAGUAGGGAAUAUUGCUCAAUGGGGGAAACCCUGAAGCAGCAACGCCGCGUGGAGGAUGAAUGUUUUCGGAUUGUAAACUCCUUUUGUUAGAGAAGAUAAUUACGGUAUCUAACGAAUAAGCACCGGCUAACUCCGUGCCAGCAGCCGCGGUAAUACGGAGGGUGCCGGCGUUACUCGGAAUCACUGAGCGUAAAGAGCGCGUAGGCGGGUUAGCAAGUCAGAUGUGAAAUCCUACGGCUUAACCAUAGAAUUGCAGUUGAAACUGUCAUCCUAGAGUAUGGGAGAGGUAGGUGGAAUUCGUGGUGUAGGGGUAAAAUCCGUAGAGAUCAAGAGGAAUACUCAUUGCGAAGGCGACCUGCUAGAACAUAACUGACGCUGAUGCGCGAAAGCGUGGGGAGCAAACAGGAUUAGAUACCCUGGUAGUC
rnacentral:rRNA from 1 species